rnacentral:lncRNA from 1 species
AUGCAGAGCCCCCCACGCCACCCCUCCUCACCCCCCGCUGCCCAGCGCACCCAGGGGAUCCCGCAGGGAUCCAGCUCCUCAAUAAAGGCACCAACCCAGCCAGCGGCGUGUUGUCAGCUCCUUCGGGGACCCCCCCCAGGUCCGGCUGCCUGUGACCCCCCCCCGGGACAAACCCCCCCGGUUCACCCAAGGGCCCGGGGACGUCCCCAGCUGAGCCGGGCCCCAGCCCCGGACCCCCACGGGCCCAGCACCACCGGGUCGGGUGCCCCCAGCCCGUCCGGGGCUGCGGGAUUCGGGGGCCCGGGGGCAGCCGCAGGCCGGGACUCGCUGCCCGCCGUCCGGGCGCCCGGUGGGGCCGGAGGAACCGGUUCGUUAUCGCCUCGCCCAGCGGCCCCCGCCACCAGGCAGCGCCCGGCCCGGCGCAGGGCCGCCAGCGCCAUCGUCCGCCGGCGUUGGGGCCAGACCCGGAGGCACCCGGGAACCACCGGGGGCAAGCGGGACGCCCGCAUCCCACCGGCGACGGGGAGAACGGGGGCACCGGGAGGAGGACGGGGGCCUCAAGGGGCGGACGGGGGCUUCGGGGGAGGGGGUGGAUGCCCCACGGGGACUAGGACUGGGGCCGCACGGAGCCUUGGGGACGCCCCCGCCCCACCGGGGCCAGGCCCCGCCGCGCAGCACCCCCCACCCUCGGCCCCGCCGCCACCGCCCCUGCCCCCGGGCGACAGCGGCCGGGCAGCACGGGCAGCGGUCCCGCCCACCCCGCGCCGGUUGACCAAUAGCAGAGGAGAAAAGCGCUGUCCCGCCCAAUGGCGGAGGGCGCUGUGCUGGUGGUACCCCGCGCCUGCGCUGCUGGGGCCGCCGCCAUUUUGGCCGGCUCGUGGCUGGGCGGCGGGGAAAGGGGGGGGGGCGGGCGCUGCGGUCGCGGCCGCCAUUUUGUCGCUGAGGCGCUGGAGGGCGGCAGGAGCGGGCGGAGGGCAACGGAGCCAGCCCUGGUCCCGUGAACCGUGA